GCGUUGUCUAAAACAGUAAAUAUGAAAGGGACAAUUCACUCAUUAUGUCAAAAAUUUCGGACACUAGGACGGAAAUCGAUAACAAAGAUUGCAGAAAUUUUGGCGGACGAUAAUGCUGAAGAAAAAUCACUUUUGUACGUUAAAUUUGAACAUUUUUUGCGCAGUAUGUCGAACUUGUAUUUAGAAAUGCGCCAUCUUGCCGAGUAUACUGCAGUGUUUGCGGAUCAGAAUACCAGGUCCCCAAAACGAAUAAAUUGUAUCCUUGCGCGUAUAGAGAGCCUUGCUGCAGAGAUUUACGAUAAAUUGUGCCAGGAUACUGAUGGCGAUGUAGCCUCUCUUGUUUGCGAUCUGAUGGACAUUAAGGACCAUUGUAUGAAGACAGUGUCUGGCCUUGUCAAAUUGGUCACUAAAUGAAUUUGUUUCGUACAACAUGAAAAUAACUUUAAAAAUAUUAACAAUUCUAAGUGUUAUCUAACACAUUGUUCAAAGUACAAAAUUGAUUAUAUCCUGAGAUCAUACGGUAAAAAUAACGUAGUAUUUUGUCCAUUCGUUGUACUUUUAAGAUUUAUUUUAAACAUAUGCCAUACAGUAUUUAUAUUUCAAAUAAAGAUGUUCUAGAAAAGG
rnacentral:misc_RNA from 1 species